UGCUUGCACCUGGUGGCGAGUGGCGAACGGGUGAGUAAUACAUCGGAACAUGUCCUGUAGUGGGGGAUAGCCCGGCGAAAGCCGGAUUAAUACCGCAACGAUCUACGGAUGAAAGCGGGGGACCUUCGGGCCUCGCGCUAUAGGGUUGGCCGAUGGCUGAUUAGCUAGUUGGUGGGGUAAAGGCCUACCAAGGCGACGAUCAGUAGCUGGUCUGAGAGGACGACCAGCCACACUGGGACUGAGACACGGCCCAGACUCCUACGGGAGGCAGCAGUGGGGAAUUUUGGACAAUGGGCGAAAGCCUGAUCCAGCAAUGCCGCGUGUGUGAAGAAGGCCUUCGGGUUGUAAAGCACUUUUGUCCGGAAAGAAAUCCUUGACUCUAAUACAGUCGGGGGAUGACGGUACCGGAAGAAUAAGCACCGGCUAACUACGUGCCAGCAGCCGCGGUAAUACGUAGGGUGCAAGCGUUAAUCGGAAUUACUGGGCGUAAAGCGUGCGCAGGCGGUUUGCUAAGACCGAUGUGAAAUCCCCGGGCUCAACCUGGGAACUGCAUUGGUGAC
rnacentral:rRNA from 1 species